UCACUUUUUGUAGCAAUACAGAAAGUGAUUUAGUGGCGAACGGGUGCGUAACACGUGGGCAAUCUGCCUUAAAGUGGGGGAUAGCUCGGCGAAAGCCGAAUUAAUACCGCAUGUGGUGAGCUAAGACAUCUUAGCGAAACCAAAGCCGGGGCAACCUGGCGCUUUUAGAGGAGCCCGCGGCCUAUCAGCUAGUUGGUGAGGUAACGGCCCACCAAGGCUAUGACGGGUAGCUGGUCUGAGAGGACGACCAGUCACACUGGAACUGAGACACGGUCCAGACACCUACGGGUGGCAGCAGUCGAGAAUUUUUCUCAAUGGGGGAAACCCUGAAGGAGCGACGCCGCGUGGAGGAUGAAGGCUUUCGGGUUGUAAACUCCUGUCAUUUGGGAACAAGUUGCACACGUUAACUGCGUGGGCAUUGAUAGUACCAGAAGAGGAAGAGACGGCUAACUCUGUGCCAGCAGCCGCGGUAAUACAGAGGUCUCAAGCGUUGUUCGGAUUCAUUGGGCGUAAAGGGUGCGUAGGUGGCGCCGUAAGUCGGGUGUGAAAUUUCGGAGCUUAACUCCGAAACUGCAUUCGAUACUGCGGUGCUUGAGGACUGGAGAGGAGACUGGAAUUCAUGGUGUAGCAGUGAAAUGCGUAGAGAUCAUGAGGAAGACCAGUGGCGAAGGCGGGUCUCUGGACAGUUCCUGACACUGAGGCACGAAGGCCAGGGGAGCAAACGGGAUUAGAUACCCCGGUAGUCCUGGCAGUAAACGGUGCACGUUUGGUGUGGGAGGAUUCGACCCCUUCCGCGCCGGAGCUAACGCGUUAAACGUGCCGCCUGGGGAGUACGGUCGC
rnacentral:rRNA from 1 species